UACGGGGGGAGCAAGCGUUGUUCGGAUUUACUGGGCGUAAAGGGCGCGUAGGCGGUCAGCACAAGUCAGUUGUGAAAUCUCCGGGCUUAACUCGGAAAGGUCAACUGAUACUGUGCGACUAGAGUGCGGAAGGGGCAACUGGAAUUCUCGGUGUAGCGGCGAAAUGCGUAGAUAUCGAGAGGAACACCUGCGGCGAAGGCGGGUUGCUGGGCCGACACUGACGCUGAGGCACGAAAGCGUGGGGAGCAAACAGG
rnacentral:rRNA from 1 species